CUUGGAUUUCUUUUGCAGCGCUUACUGCGCGGCGAAAACCUUACACACAGUGAUUUCUUUCUUUGAAAACAUUGCUUUGGUCUGGCGCAAGUUGGGCCAAAGGUUUAUUAAACUUCAAUUUUAUAUUGAACUGUUAUUUUAACUAAAGUCAAUUUGUUGAUUAAAUUCAAAAAUCUUCAAAACUUUCAACAACGGAUCUCUUGGUUCUCGCAUCGAUGAAGAACGCAGCGAAUUGCGAUAAGUAAUAUGAAUUGCAGAUUUUCGUGAAUCAUCGAAUCUUUGAACGCACAUUGCGCCCUUUGGUAUUCCAAAGGGCAUGCCUGUUUGAGCGUCAUUUCUCUCUCAAAUCUUCGGAUUUGGUUUUGAGUGAUACUCUUAGUCGAACUAGGCGUUUGCUUGAAAAGUAUUGGCAAGAGUGGUACUUUAGGUGCUAAACUGUUUCAAUGUAUUAGGUUUAUCCAACUCGUUGAAUCUGGUUAGUUACUUUAGGGUGCUUAGGCUCGGCCUUACAACAACAAACAAAGUUUGACCUCAAAUCAGGUAGGAUUACCCGCUGAACUUAAGCAUAUCAAUAAGCCGGAGGAA
rnacentral:rRNA from 1 species